rnacentral:rRNA from 1 species
UAGGGAAUAUUGCACAAUGAGCGAAAGCUUGAUGCGGCAACGCCGCGUGCGCGAUGACGGCCUUCGGGUUGUAAAGCGCUUUUCGGGGAGAUGAGGAAGGACAGUAUCCCCGGAAUAAGUCUCGGCUAACUACGUGCCAGCAGCCGCGGUAACACGUAGGAGGCAAGCGUUAUCCGAAUUUACUGGGCGUAAAGCGCGUGCAGGCGGUUCGGUAAGUUGGAUGUGAAAUCUCCCGGCUCAACUGGGAGGGGACGUUCAAUACUGUCGGACUGGAGGACGAAAGAGGGAGGUGGAAUUCCCGGUGUAGUGGUGAAAUGCGUAGAUAUCGGGAGGAAAACCAGUGGGGAAGGCGGCUUCCGGGAUCGUUCCUGACGCUCAGACGCGAAAGCUAGGGG